AGGUCCCAAGCGUUGUUCGGAUUUACUGGGCGUAAAGGGUGCGUAGGCGGUUAGAAAAGUUUGGUGUGAAAUCUUCGGGCUCAACCCGGAAACUGCACUGAAAACUAUUUAACUAGAGGAUCGGAGAGGAGAUUGGAAUUCUCAGUGUAGCAGUGAAAUGCGUAGAUAUUGAGAGGAACACCAGUUGCGAAGGCGGAUCUCUGGACGAUUCCUGACGCUGAGGCACGAAAGCUGGGGGAGCGAAGAGGAUUAGAUACCCUCGUAGUCCCAGCCGUAAACGGUGCGCACUUGCUGUGGGCGGAUUCGACCCCGUCCGUGGCGAAGCUAACGCGUUAAGUGCGCCGCCUGGGGAGUACGGUCGCAAGAUUAAAACUCAAAGAAAUUGACGGGGGCCUGCACAAGCGGUGGAGUAUGUGGCUUAAUUCGAUGCAACGCGAAGAACCUUACCUGGCCUUGACAUGUAGUGGCCCGGGUGCGAAAUCACCCUUUUCUUCGGAACUGCUACACAGGUGCUGCAUGGCUGUCGUCAGCUCGUGUCGUGAGAUGUUGGGUUAAGUCCCGCAACGAGCGCAACCCCCGUGUUCUGUUGCCACCCGGAUGAGAAUCCGGAGCACUCUGGACAGACUGCCUGGUUUCAACCAGGAGGAAGGUGGGGAUGACGUCAAGUCAGUAUGGCCCUUACGGCCAGGGCUGCACACGUACUACAAUGCCCGGUACAAUGGGAAGCGAGACCGCGAGGUGGAGCAAAUCCUAAAAACCGGGCCCAGUUCAGAUUGUAGGCUGCAACUCGCCUACAUGAAGGAGGAAUCGCUAGUAAUGCCGUAUCAGCUACGACGGCGUGAAUACGUUCCCAGGCCUUGUACACACCGCCCGUCACAUCAUGAAAGUCGAUUGUACCCGAAGUCGCCGAGUUAACCGCAAGGAGACAAGCGCCGAAGGUAUGGUUGGUAAUUGGGAUGAAGUCGUAACAAGGUAGCCGUAGGGGAACCUGUGGCUG
rnacentral:rRNA from 1 species